GAUGAACGCUAGCGGGAGGCUUAACACAUGCAAGUCGAGGGGCAGCAUAGGGUAGCAAUACUCUGAUGGCGACCGGCAAACGGGUGAGUAACGCGUAUGUAACCUACCCUGUACAGGGGGAUAACCCGGAGAAAUUCGGACUAAUAUCCCAUAACAAUAUCCGGGGGCAUCUUUGGAUAUUUAAAGUUCCGGCGGUACGGGAUGGGCAUGCGUAACAUUAGCUAGUUGGUAAGGUAACGGCUUACCAAGGCUUUGAUGUUUAGGGGUCCUGAGAGGGUGGUCCCCCACACUGGUACUGAGACACGGACCAGACUCCUACGGGAGGCAGCAGUGAGGAAUAUUGGUCAAUGGGCGCAAGCCUGAACCAGCCAUCCCGCGUGCAGGAAGACGGCCCUAUGGGUUGUAAACUGCUUUUCCAGGGAGAGAAACUUACGCACGUGUUGCGUGACUGACGGUACCCUGGGAAUAAGCAUCGGCUAACUCCGUG
rnacentral:rRNA from 1 species